UAACAACAUUAUUACAGAUGGAACUAUUUACAUUGGAAGGUAAAGCAACAUCUUUAUGGCAAUCAGUAAAAGAAGAAUUGUCAUGAUUACAAGAGUCAGAUUUCGAGUAUUCAAAAGUAGAUGAACAACCAGUAGAGCAAGAAGGGGAAGCUGGAGCCCAAGCAAGCUUGAAUAGACCAUCCUCCUCUCUACCAAGAUCUAGAGGCUUCCUCGGAGAAGGGUCCUGUAUCAUGUGGAGGAAGCAGCAAGUUGCAGUGAACAAA
rnacentral:lncRNA from 1 species